GCCCGAUAAAGGCAAACCCAGCGAAAGCUGGGGACGCAAAGCCACGGGCCUACAGGCGAGGGAAUGCCUAUGGUAGCCGGGUUGCCGAA
rnacentral:ncRNA from 1 species